CCCAUGAGCAAUUUGAAUUGAUUAGUGAUCUGAUCGACACACAUGAGUUGGCACUCCAAUAUAAUCAAGAUGUAGUCUUAAACCAUCCUGUUAUCACAUCCAAUAAUCCUCUAGUUUAUAUCCUUAGUCUUCAAACACUAACAUGUAUUCUCUUCAUUAAUUUGUUAAAACUAUCCCAAAUUCACCUUUUCCUUCUUAUACCAAGUUUCACUGUUCCAUGCAAAUGGUAAAUUAAAACUCAGCUUGCUUACUAAUGAAUGAAAAUACUCUAAUUACCUUCAUGUUCUACCAAGGACAUAAAUAUAACUUCCCUUCUUUAUCUAAUAAAACAAGCAACUUGCAAAAGUUGCACUAAUUAAUAGAAAUUCCUUAUUUUAAUUGCUUUACGUCAAGAAAUUAAAUUUAUUUACAUUCGUUGUCAUCUCAAGCUAAGUCCCGUGAUCCUUUAUCAACUAUUAUUCCAACUAGAUGCUAUCAAAUUACAGUAGUCAAAAUUCUCUUCUCUCUUUCUCUCCAAUAGAAAGUCUAUCUUUCUUUCUAAAUAUAAGUACUAAAUUCUUUAUGAAAAAUACUCAUCACCAAUUAUUAUACCAAAUCGCACCAAAUCCUUCAACAUUCAGACCUUAUAAAAAUCAUGUAUAUCCAUUCCAUCCAGAAAAUAUUUAUCUCAAUAAAUAUAAGAAAUUCCACUAACCAACAUCAUGUAAAUUUCAUCAAAUUCAUAUACUCAUUCAAUACUCUAAUUAAAUAGAUUCUGAUGUCCUCGAAUCCGAAUCAUUUAGUUCUCUUGUUAAAUUAUUAGCAACUCAUUCUCAAUUCCGCAAGCACACUUAUACACACAUUUAUGCAUUCUUAAAUAUGUAUUCCACAUUCAACACGUAUUAAAUAAAAAAUAGCACACUUUCAUCAACUAACCUCAACUCAUUAAUCCUAUAUAACUUAUCUUCUUACAUACUUAAAUUAUAUAUGAAUAUUAUUUAUUCCAUAAAAGGGUUUUUGUUUAAACCAUCCCCUUAGCAUCAGUAACUAAAUCACAUCUCUAAAGAACAAGGAUACAAAAUUUUACUUAUUAAACAACUUAACUCUAAUCUGGUUGCGAACAACGCUGAAGAGGAAAGCAAGGAAGACUAUGUCAAGACAUGACAGGAAUUACUCCGCAGUUACAUCUAGACUUAUGAACUUUUGCUCUGAUACCACCUUUGUCACGACCCGUUUCCGUGGGCCGGACCGGCACUAGGGCCUAGGUAAGCUUAAGGCCCCCGAGGCCCGUAGUAAGCCUAAAUUAUUCAAUCUGUCUACAUG
rnacentral:lncRNA from 1 species